AAAGAAAAAUUGAAUGCUGAUCUGUUCCAUGGCACCCUGGACCCUGUAGAGAAAGCCCUUCAAGAUGCCAAACUAGACAAGUCACAGAUUCAUGACAUUGUCCUAGUAAGUGGUUCUACCCAUAUCCCCAAGAUUCAAAAGCUUCUCCAAGACUUCUUCAAUGGAAAAGAACUGAAUAAGAUUAUCAACCCCGAUGAGGCUGUUGCCUAUGGUGCAGCUGUCCAGCGGCCAUCUUAUCUGGUGACAAAUCCGAGAAUGUUCAGGAUUUGCUACUAUUAGACGUCACUCCUCUUUCUCUGGGUAUUGAGACUGCUGGUGGAGUUAUGACUGUGCUCACUAAGCACAAUACUACAUUCCAAUCAAGCAAACACAGACCUUCACUACCUACUCUGACAACCAGCCAGGUGUGCUCAUCCAGGUUUAUGAAGAUGAGCGUGCCAUGACCAAGGAUAAGAACUUGCUUGGCAAGUUUGAACUUACAGGCAUACCUCCUGCUCCCCGUGGUGUUCCUCAGAUUGAAAUCAUUUUUGAUAUUGAUGCCAUUGGCAUUCUUAAUGUCUCUACUGUGGAUAAGAGUAUAGGAAAAGAAAAUACCAUCACUAACGACAAGAGACAUUUGAGCAAGGAAGACAUUGAACAUAUGGUUCAGGAAGCUGAGAAGUACAAGGCUGAAGAUGAGAAGCAGAGGGACAAGAUUUCAUCAAAAAAUUCACUUGAGUCCUAUGCAUUCAACAUGAAAGCAACUGUUGAAGAUGAGAAACUUCAAGGCAAGAUCAAUGAUGAGGACAAACAGAAGAUUCUUGACAAGUGUAAUGAAAUUAUCAACUGGCUUGAUAAGAACCAGACUGCAGAGAAGGAAGAAUUUGAACAUCAGCAGAAGGAGCUGGAGAAAGUCUGCAACCCCAUCAUUACCAAGUUGUACCAGAGUGCAGGCGGAAUGCCAGGAGGAAUGCCAGGAGGAAUGCCUGGGUGCUUCCCUGGUGGUGGUGCUCCUCUUUCUGAUGGUGCUUCCUCCGGCCCCACCAUUGAAGAGGUUAAUUAAGCCAACCCAAGUGUAGAUGUAGCAUUGUUCCACACAGUAAAA